AGGCAGGGGACCUGGAGGAAGAAAAGGUGAACACUUGGCUCAGAGUGUCUGGGAUCAGAAACAGCAGUGACCUUGGUUUCUAAAAUAAAGGGUAUAAUAGCAAGGUGACCACUGAAGUCCCUACCAGCUCUGUCAUCCCAUGGCCCCAGGAGCCAGAGAUGAGUGUGUCCUAAGGUCUUGUGUUUCCAGGGUUCUAAGUCUGGGGCUCUGGUCAACCCCAGAGUUCAUGCCAACAUCAUCCCAACCACAGCAGCCCCCGCACCCUUUCUCCAUGCUUCCCCAGGAAAGAGCAUCCAGACCCCUGCAAAGCACUCAGCUCUAAGUCCGGCCCCAGUCCACUCCUGCAGCCCCUGCUCAGUGCCCUGGCCCAAAGCCACCCAGAGUUAUUCUCCUGCCUUCAGAUGAGAAAGGCAAGCGUCAGUAUGAGAAAUAUUCUGACAGAAGAGGACACGGUGGUAUAGACUGGCUCCUGGUGACAGAGGUGUGGCACUAUGGGAGACAGGAAAGAGACCCUCUUCAUGCCUAUAUUCCCUGGAACAAAAUGACUUCCAGGUCCCAGCUUUGCUCCUUUUCUCACUAGACAUUCUGGACAGAUCCAUGAUGCAUUUCUCCAAACAGCCCAUUGCAUAGAAUGGCACUGCUCAAAGUGUGGGUCACUUGGCUGGUCCAAGGCAAUGUAAGUUCAGAAAUGGAGGAAGCAUUUAGAAACCUGUAAAGCACUGGGAUAUUACCAUGACCAUUUAAGCACCGGAGCUUUUGUUGUUAAGUCAUUUUAUUGUGUUUUACAAAAGUAAUGGUCUGCAGUAGACCAAAAUUAGAAAAACAAAACAAAUUAUUCACCAAGAAAUUGAGAAGAAUUAGUAGCAGCAGCUUAGGAAGUUAAGAGAUCAUAUCGAACCUCCUCUGCUGAACCUGAAGCUCAGAGAGAGAAAACUGACUUGAGGUCAUACUAUAAACCUGGAUCAAACCUUCUUUCACAGGAUCAAAGCUGAAGUUUUGAGUGAUUUUUAUGCAAGCCAUAAGGUAAUUGGGUAGCCAUAGACAAUAAAUACUGUGUGUGUUGCAUUAAAGAAAAACAUGCCUGAAACCAGAAUGAAUGUGAACUUCACUCAGGAAGACACAGCCCACCACCAUGGACUCAAGGAGCAGUGAUGUCAACCAGCCCAGUAAGGACCCCUCCUCCCACUGUAGCCCAGUCCCUUGUGCCCAUCUUGAGUUCUCGUCCUGUUGCUACCUUCUGCCUUGGCAAUGGUCUGAAGCCCUCUGGGGCCUUCAUGUGCCCACAGACCUCAGGGGAUCAUGUCAGUAAUGCAAAGGAAGACCCACUCUCUCCAUCCCACAUUCUCCUUUCUACCGUCUACCGGUGACCAUAAAGCAGAGAACCAAGGGCAGAGAGGAAGUGAAAAAUCAGCGUCUAUGCAAAAGCCACGAACAAGCCUAAGGAAUGCUGUUCACGCAGCGUGUAGAACCCAAUUGAUUAAAACAAUGUUGCCCGUGUGUUACUUAACCAUGAGCUCGGGGCAGAAACCAGCCAGCUCGCUCUCCUGUGAGACCCAGGCCUCCUGCCGUAAUUGCUGCUUGGUGUAAUCCUCACUGGGAAUGUGAAAGUCCUGGGCAGGAAACAAGGCAGGCAGUGGGCACCAGAAUCAGCCCAGCAGCUGGGCUAGAAAAGUCACCUCCUCUGGGAAGUCGUCUUCACUACAGCCAACUUGGCUGUAGUCCUGAGGGACUGCCUACAAAUGUUGCCAACAGCUUCUGCCUGCAAACACAGUCCAGCUUCUCAUCUUGUCAUGAGGGCCUUUUAUGUAACCUUUCAUUUCACACCACCUUAAGUCAUGCCUAUUUUAUACAUUAAGUGACUAAGAUUCAGGUAGAGAAAAGAAUUGGCCAGGUCACAUGCCAAUGAAUGAAGGAUUCCUAAGUUCUUGCAGGAGCCCAGCAGCUACAGCCCUGGCCUAUUGGAAUCCGGUGGCAUCAAGACCUCAAUGUGAGCCCCAGUGCUUAUCCCCACUCACUGUCUGGCCAUGGCCAGUGAGCCUCUCUGACUCAGCCUGUGAACCCCCCUGGGCCUAGACUGCCUCAUGUGUCAGGUGAGGAUAUGCCCACCUUCUGUCAUUUUGGCAUUCUGUACUUCCAUGGUGCUUACCCACAAUCAUGUUCCUGCUUUCAUCUACUUUUAGAUUUGCAGUCAACCUGCAAGACAAUUAGUCACCCUCUUGGAACAUGCUCCUACCGUCAGGACAAUGGGAGGGUGCUGGAGGUCUGUGGUAUGAGUUCUUGAUCAUGAGAAAGCUUUCCCCCAGGACCCUUUAUCAUAUUAAACAGCUGCAUCUGCAGCAGUAUCGCCAAACACUAGUUCUAAUAAUGACGUAUUUUACAGUGUGACCUAAGCACAACGUAGUGUUUCUUAACUGAUUUAAGCAGCAUUUAUGACAGUUCCUCUACCCUAUCCCCAGAUCCCGAGUGCAAUGCCCUGGAUUUGUACAGGGGUCCACAGAGCUUGAAGCGGGCUUAGCACCAAUACCCACAUCUCCCCAGUGCAUGUCCUCCAACUACUGCAGAAGACCUUGUCUGAGUAGUGGUUUCACUCACUCAUUUCCCAGGAUCAUUUAUCAGAUAAUGUAUCAGAUUAGCCAGUCCCUUCUUACAGAUGAUUUUAAAAAAAGAUGAAAAGAACUGCCAGAGGGGAGAUAAGAAGUUACAGUUUCAGCAUCUUCUCUCUCAGUCCCUCUUUUUUCCUGCAUUUGUGCCCUAUCCAAUUUAUUCUCACCCCACACACAAUAUCAACACAUAGGGACAAAAAGACAAAUGGACAGAACAUCUCACAGAGAGAGAGAGAGAGAGAGAGAGAGGAAAGAGGGAAAGAGAGAGAGGGAGGAGAGAGAGAGAGAGGUGCAAAAAUAUUCAUAACAGAAAAAAAAAAUCAAAUGCCAUUUUCCCCAAAGAAUGGAACUUCACACUCUUAGGAAAAUAAAACAACAAUUUCCCAAAUUACUCUCAAGCUCCUAAUGCUUCUGGAAACGUACAUACUAUGGCUCCCUGAACAAGGUCGCAGCUCCCAGAGAGAAACUAGCAUAGCCGGAUGCAUGUGCCUUGGUAUAAGCAUGUUCCAGAGCUUGUGUGCAAAGGAACAUAUAUCCACACCAUAAUGUGCUCAUAGAGCACAAGUGAAAGAAUUUCAUAAACAAUAAAAUUCUAUAAAUUUCUGCCUUGACUCUCAAAUUGGCUUGUUAGCAAGUGGUAUUCAAAGCCACAGGGAAAAUGUAGCACAUCUUCCUGGAGCUAUAUUCUUUAAUAUUCAACAAAGAAAACCACGCAUUUAUAUUAAAACCAGUAUUUAUGAACUACAUGCCUGAGUCUUUUUGUCCAACUUUAAUUUACAAUCAGGGUACAUGUGUAGGUUUGCUAUAUCGGUAUAUUGUAUGAUCCUGAGGUUCAGAGCAUGAAUGAAUCUGUCACCCAAGUAGUGAGCUUAGUACCCCAGAGGUAGUUUUUAUCAACCCUUACACCCCUCCCUCUCUCCUUGCUAUUGUAUUCCCAUAAGUCUAUUGCUCCCAUUUUUAUUACCAUGCAUAUCCCAUGUUUUGCUCCCACUUAGAAGUGAGAACAUGUGAUAUUUGGUUUUCUGUUUCUGCAUGUGUUUGUUUAGGAUAAUGGUUUCUAGCUGCAUCCACGUGGCGGCAAAGCAUGUGCUUGCAUUCUUUUUUAUUGCUGUGUAGUGCUCCACAGUGUACAUGUGCCACAUUUUCUUUAUUCAAUCCACAAUUGAUGGGGACCUGGGUUCAUUCCAUGUCUUUGCUAUUGUGAAAAAAAUUACCAUUGAAUGGUAGUUCUGUUUUAAGUUCUUUGAGAAAUUUCCACACUGCUCUCCACAGUGGCUGAACUGAUGUAAAUUUCCAUCAACAGUGUAUACAAACUUUUUCAACAACCUCAUCGACGUGUUAUUUUUUGACAUUUUAAUAAUAGCUAUUCUGACUGGUGUGAGAUAAUAUCUCAUUAUGGUUUUUAUUUGCAUUUCUCUGGUAAUUAGUGAUGAUAAGCAUUUUUUCCAUACAUCUUUUUGUAUGACUUUUAUGUCUUUUUUUUGAGAAGUGUCUGUUCAUGUCCUUUGCCUACUUUUAAUGGGGUUAUUUGCUUUUUGCUUGUUCAGUUGUUUAAGUUACAGAUUCCGAAUACUUGACUUUUGUUGAAUGCGUGAUUUGCAAAUACUUUCUCCCAUUAUGUAAUUGUCUGUUUACUUCCUUAAUAGUUUCCUUUGCUGUGCAGAAGCUCUUUAGUUAAUUAAGUCUCACUUGUUACUUUUUGUUUUUGUGACAAUUGCUUUUGAGGACUUAGCCACAGAUUAUUUGCCCAGGCUUAUAUUUAGAAAGAUAGUUCCUAGGCUUUCUUAUAGGAUUUUAAGUAGCUUGAGGUCUUUCAUUUAAGUAUUUAAUACACCUUGAAUUCAAUUUUGUAUGUGGUGAUAGGUAGGUAUAAUGUUUAAUAAUGAGUGUCAACUUGACUGGAUUGAAGGAUGCAAAGUAUUGUUCCUGGGGGUGUCUGUGAGGGUGUUGCCAAGGGAGAUUAACAUUUGAGUCAGUGGAUGGAAAGGGGCAGACCAACCCUCAGUCUGGUUGGCGCCAUCUAAUCAGCUGCCAGUGCAGCUAGGAUAAAAGCAGCCAGAGGAACAUGGAAGGACUAGACUGGCUGAGUGCAGUCCUGAGAGAAGCCCUAAUCCAUAGGCACCCAGCAUAACGCAGCAUCUCAGGCCCUGCUCUGCAGCCCCCAUCACCCAGCCCCUGCCCUCCCAGCGCACACAGCACCAGCACGGAGCUGGGAAGCCAUGUGGCGUAGGUCACUGCCUGCCCAGGAGACGUCCCUCUCAGAAGUGCUCAGCAGCCUGGUCCCCGGCCCAGAGUACAGGAUACUCAGCCUUGAAAUCAACUCAGGCUUCCCCGCACAGUCCACCGGAGUCACAUCCUUCAGGGCAGAUGGCAAGGGUGGGCCGGGGCCACAGUCCUGACUGCAUCCCAAAGCCAGCAUAAGGCUACAUGGCUGGAAACCACUGUCCCUACGGCUCAGCGUCUCUCCAGGGCAAACACCCCCAGCUAGAGACGGGGGAUAGAGAGGGCCGAGGCCUCACUGGGACCUGGGACAGCACCACGGUUUGGAGAGCUGGCUUGCCGGGCUGCGGAAGCCCGUGUGUGGAAAGGGCACAUCGGAGGAUCCCAUGUGUUCUGCGUCUGCGUCUCUGUGUGUCCCUGUGUGCGUCUCCACGUAUCCACGUGUAUUCACUCUUGUGUGAGUGCCUGAGUGUGUCCCUGUGCGUGGAACCCCACACAGGCCUGUGGCCUGGGGAGGUAUCUGUGCCCAUGUGUCACUGUGUGCGUCUCCAUGUUUCUGUGUGUGUGUGUGUUUCCGUGCGAGGGCAUGUCCCUGUGUGUCAGGCGUGUGUGUGCCCUGGUGCAAGUAACCCCAUGUGGGCAUCAUCCCCGUGUGUGCUGCAGGGCGGGGCAGUGGGAGAGCAGGCCCCCACUGGCAGGGCAACACUUCCUUUGGGGAGCCCCCCCCCAACAUCCCAGGUGGGUAACAUCAGCUGGAAGAAAUGCCAACUGCCUCCCCCCCACAACCCAGGUGGGUAACAUCAGCUGGAAGAAAUGCCAACUGCCUUCUUGAACGACUGAAAUCAUCAUCCCCCCAGGAGCCCCCAGAAAGCAAGGGCAGCCUGCACCUUCACUAUCUCAAGCCCCUCCUUCUUCUGAGCCCACCCUUCUCUGUGACGACGAUGUUGGCUAUACUCCUCCAUUUCUUGGAGCCUGUUUCCUUAAACAUGAUGGGGUGAGAAAGACUGGUCUGCUGGCAUGUUCUGAGGAUUAAAUUAAACUGCGACCCGCAGGGCCUCACGCAGGGCUGUCGCCCUUUGCCAUGUCCUCUGCAGGUGGAAGUGUGACAGUCACAGCUUCCCAUGAAUCAUACCACUCACUCCUCACAAGCACUCUACAAGGAAGGCACCAUCACCUCCAUUUCUACAGACAAGGAAACUGGGGCCCUGUGAGGUCACAUGUGUGCCCUCUGUCUUCUGAGGAGGGGGUCGCAUCAGGCCGGUGGGCAUGAGGAAGGGCACCUCCUAAGGGGACGUCCCUCCAGCCAGCCACCUCCUCUGGCUGUCGCCAGUGCAGCAUCACCCGCCGCCCAGGGCACAGCCUAUCAGGGCCUUCCUGGAAAGGCCAGUCUGGAAGAAGCACACAGUUAGGGCUGAAACUUUCUGCCCCCCUCAAAAUUUAAACUGAUGCCCUAACUCCUGUGGGAUGGUAUCUGGAGGUGGGGACUUUGAGAGGUAAGGAGGUGCAGAUGAGGUCAUGAGAGUGGAACCUACGUGAUGGGAUUAGAAGAGGAAGAAAGAGAGGUCCUUCUCUCUCUCCAUGUCUACUCCCAGGCAGGCCAUGUGAGGGUACAAUGGGAAGGCGGCCGUGCUUCUCACCGUCCUCAUCAGAAUCUGACCAUGCUGGCACCCUGGCCCUGGAUCUCCAGCCUCCAGAACUGUGAGAGGUAAAGGUCUGCGUGUGGGCUUCCCAGAACUCCGUACUUAACGAAGCAGCCCAAACCGACUACAAUAUGCUCCAGGAACCAGAGACCACGGUUCCAAAGAGAUGCUGGAACACUGCCCCAGGUACGAGAACUGCAGUUUGAUCAUCAACAAAUCAGCAGUGCUUUGACUGGUGGGGCCAGGAAAAGUUGCCAAAGAACCCCACGUAGCAGCUAAGAAAGUGGAGACAGAACAGGGCCCAGAACCCUCCCAUGCAGCAGGCUCCGGCUCCACCACUUCCUGGAAAAAGAACAGCUCAGAGUUUCUCUGGCGACCUGCCUGAGGACACCUGGACUCCAGAGGCACACGAGCCCCACUGCCAUGGGAGCAGCCCCCUGGCCAACUUCAGCUGCCUGUGCUUCUCCGUGACGACAGUGAGCGUGGCCCAUCCCAGGCAUGGACGCUUAGUGUGUUCUGAGACAUGCGAGGUAUGUUUCCUCACGAGACUCCCGCGACCAGCGUAAGGCACACAUCGCUACUUUCAUUUUGUAGAUGGGGAAACUGAGGCUCCGAGCAUAAAGCUCUAGGGGCUAUUCUUUGCAAUUGUAACUAUCCACAACACCCUAACAACUGAAAGAAAGAACUGACUGAUAAUUCCUGAUACCACUUUCCCAGCAACUCUGGACUCAAUCCCCGCCCAGCCACUUAGAACCUGUGCUCUGCACAGGUUACUUCAUGACUAAACUUGUCAUCGGCAAAAACCGAAAAUAAAAUCCUCUUUACAGCCGGGUGCAGUAACUCACGCUGUAAUCCCAGCACUUUGGGGUCAAGGCAGGCCGAUCACUUGAGGUCAGGAGUUCAAGACCAGCCUGAACAAUAUAGGGAAACCCCAUCUCUAUUAAAAACACAAAAAUU